rnacentral:rRNA from 1 species
GGCGAACGGGUGAGUAACACGUGGGCAACCUGCCCCUCGCAGGGGGACAACCGGAGGAAACUCCGGCUAAUACCCCGUACGCUUGUUGGAUCGCAUGGUCCGACAAGGAAAGGUAGCUUCGGCCAUCCGGCGAGGGAUGGGCCCGCGUUGCAUUAGCUAGUUGGUGGGGUAACGGCCUACCAAGGCGACGAUGCGUAGCUGGUCUGAGAGGAUGAUCAGCCACACUGGGACUGAGACACGGCCCAGACUCCUACGGGAGGCAGCAGCCAGGAAUCUUGGGCAAUGGGCGAAAGCCUGACCCAGCAACACCGUGUGGGUGACGAAGGCCUUAGGGUCGUAAAGCCCUGUUGAUAGGGACGAAGGGCGAAGGGUUAAUAGCCCCUAGCUUGACGGUACCUUUCGAGGAAGCCCCGGCUAACUACGUGCCAGCAGCCGCGGUAAUACGUAGGGGGCGAGCGUUGUCCGGAAUUAUUGGGCGUAAAGAGCGUGUAGGCGGUUCGGUAAGUCUGCUGUGAAAUCCUGGGGCUCAACCCUGGGCGUGCAGCGGAUACUGCCGGGCUAGAGGGUGGUAGAGGCGAGUGGAAUUCCGAGUGUAGCGGUGAAAUGCGCAGAUAUUCGGAGGAACACCAGUAGCGAAGGCGGCUCGCUGGGCCACACCUGACGCUGAGACGCGAAAGCGUGGGGAGCGAACAGGAUUAGAUACCCUGGUAGUCCACGCCGUAAACGAUGGAUACUGGGUGUGGGCGGAGUCGAAUCUGUCUGUGCCGAAGUUAACGCGUUAAGUAUCCCGCCUGGGGAGUACGGCCGCAAGGCUAAAACUCAAAAGAAUUGACGG